UUUAUUUAUUUAUUUAUUUUUCCAGGAGAAUGAACAUGAGACAUAGCUCAACUUUUCCUAGUAGAUACAACGGUAUAUACUACAAAUCUACUGCCUGUGCCAUCUUCUGUAUAGGGCAAUGUAAAGUGCCAUUCCUCUUUUUUUUUUUUGUAUUUUUAAAGCAAACUAAUAGUUCUUACGAUGCAACAAUGUUCCUAGAUGUUACAUUUUAAAGAAAUAUGAAGCCAAAAAGAGUAUUAGAAAUUACCUGGUGUUUCCUUCGAGGCUUCAUGAUGAUGAAUUUCUGCUAGUGAUUCAAUCCUCCCCUCAGCUUGAACCUGAGAAAGAUCUCU
rnacentral:misc_RNA from 1 species